rnacentral:rRNA from 1 species
CCUACGGGAGGCAGCAGUGGGGAAUAUUGCGCAAUGGGGGAAACCCUGACGCAGCAACGCCGCGUGAGUGAGGAAGGACUUCGGUCUGUAAAGCCCUGUUAAUGUGGAAAAAUGGUUAGCGGUCUAAUAGGCCGUUGAUUUGAUGGUACACAUAGAGGAAGCACCGGCUAACUUCGUGCCAGCAGCCGCGGUAAUACGAAGGGUGCAAGCGUUGUUCGGAUUUAUUGGGCGUAAAGCGCGCGUAGGCGGACCUGCAAGUCAGAUGUGAAAUCUCGGGGCUCAACCUCGAAACUGCGUCUGAAACUACAGGUCUAGAAUCUUGGAGGGGGAAGGGGAAUUUCUCAUGUAGGGGUAAAAUCCGUAGAUAUGAGAAGGAACACCAGAGGCGAAGGCGCCUUCCUGGACAAGUAUUGACGCUGAGGCGCGAAAGCGUGGGGAUCAAACAGGAUUAGAUACCCUGGUAGUCCACGCUGUAAACGAUGAAUACUAGAUAUUGCAGGAUUUGACCCCUGCAGUGUCGUAGCUAACGCGUUAAGUAUUCCGCCUGGGAAGUACGGUCGCAAGACUAAAACUCAAAAUGAAUUGACGG